rnacentral:rRNA from 1 species
UGUAUGGUUAAGUGACUAAGCGUACACGGUGGAUGCCUGGGCAGUCAGAGGCGAUGAAGGACGUACUAACUUGCGAUAAGCGCAGAUAAGGCAGUAAGAGCCGUUUGAGUCUGCGAUUUCCGAAUGGGGAAACCCAACUGCAUAAGCAGUUACUGUUAACUGAAUACAUAGGUUAACAGAGCAAACCGGGGGAACUGAAACAUCUAAGUACCCCGAGGAGAAGAAAUCAACCGAGAUUCCGGUAGUAGCGGCGAGCGAACCUGGAUUAGCCCUUAAGCACUCGGUGAAGUAGGUGAACAAGCUGGAAAGCUUGGCGAUACAGGGUGAUAGCCCCGUAACCGACGCUUCAUCGAGCGUGAAAUCGAGUAGGGCGGGACACGUGA